UGUGGGAAGAUCCCUGGCGAAAGGGUCCCUGGAGCGGGGUGGCCAGGGCUGGGAUCAGGUCCCCAUAGCACUGCCCGUGUCAUUCCGUCUCUCUCGGAAGUGUGACAGGACCCCCAACUGAGGCAGGUGCUAGAGGAGUCACUCCGCGAUACCUGGCCCCAGCCAGCACCAAGGAGUUAAUUAAAUAAAGCUCAUUACAAGAUGCCUAAAGGGGAGUGUACCUUUUCUUUCCCUCAUGGCACCCUCGUGGUUGGCAGGACCACAUGUGGGUGACACUGAGGUUGGGGGCUGCCAGCUGUGGGGCCCCUCUCAGAUCUUCCUGGGCUGGCGCCUGACAGGAUCAGGCCACAAGCCUCUAGUCAACACGCAGGGCAACGUUACUCACCAUUUUCCCCUUUUCAGCCAAGAACAUCGGCAUUGAUGAUGGGGGGCCCCAGCCGGGCCCUCAGGGCACAGCAGCUCCUAACCCACCCCGGCCCAGGCCCUCGCCCUGAGGCUGCACAGCAGGAACAGGCAGCAGGGGCCAAGCCCAGUGCUCUCUUCCUCAGUGCCGGCACCGGGCCUGGCCACUGGCUGCCGGGGCCCGGGGCUCGGGGCUGUGGCCGGCAGCCCCUGCCGAGGCAUAGGAGCCCCCAGGUACAAGAGGGGGCCCCAGCCCCUGGCCUGCAGAGAAUCAGCCUGUGGAGAGGGUCCGGGUUCGGCCUGCUGGGGCUGGUGCCCUCCCCUGCUCCCCAGCCCUGCUUUCCUGGACACAGUGUGAUGCUGUGUGGUUAUGGCGGAUGGGCCAGGAGCAGUGAGGGGCUUCUGCAAGCAGGUUCAUGGGUGCUGAUGUACUGUGUUGCUCAUCUUCUGUACUGCCCCUUCUACCCAAGCCUGUGGGAAGGUCCCAGGUGCAGUGGAUCAGCCUGGGGCUGAGUCAGGUGGGGCCAAGACCUUGGGUGCCCCAAACAGGUAUCCCCUUGUAUUGGGUCUGGCUGAGAUGGAGUUAAUUCUCCCCAUAGCAGCCCUCAUAGUGCUGUGCUCUGCAUUGGUAGCUAGAAAGGCGUUGAUAACAUACCAGUGUUUUGGCUACUGCUGAGCAGUGCUGGCACAGCAUCAAGGGUGUCUCUCCAACAUUUCUGACCCCCUCAACAGCAGGCUGGGGCUGGGUAAGAUCUUGGGAGGGGACAUAACCAGGACAGCUGACCUAAACUAACCAAACAGAUAUUCCAUACCAUAUGACAUCAGCUCAGAUAUAAAAGCUAAGUAGAGGGAGACGGAAGGGGGGCAUUUUUGUCUUCCAGAGCAACCACUACGCGUACUGAAGCCCUGCUUCCCAGGAAGUGGCUAGACAUCACCUGCUGAUGGGAAGUAGAGAAUAACAUCAUUUGUUUUUUCUUUGCUUUCGCGCAUGACCUUUGCUUUCACUUUAUUAAACUGUCCUUAUCUUGACCCACGAGCCUUUUGUUAUAUUUUCUCCCCCCUGUCCAGCUGAGGAGGGGGAGCGAUAGAGCAGCUUUGGUGAGCACCUGGCACCCAGCCAAGGCCAAGCCACCACACCCCCACUCCAGGCAAGGCGUCGGUGCCAGGACUCUGCAAAGGGAGGACAGACUCUGGAAAGGGGAGCGCCAGCCAUUGGAGGGAUCCAUCUCUCUUCAGCCAGGUCCCACAAGAAAAGCCAAUUCAGGGUGCCCAGCAAGGCCCCUCGGCCGUCGGGGAGCUCCAGUCCAAUGCCAGUCUCCAAAACCGGUUUCUGUCUCAGGAGGGGUGUCAGAGAAAUCCCCUUUCCCCCAGGGCUGCCCUCAGUGAAGGAAUGAACCCUGCAGGCGGGGGAAGCACCCUCCUUUUUUGGAGAUGGUUACCAGGGGAGCUGGCUCUGCUGCUCUUUCUUGCUGCCAGCCCUUGGUCUCAGUGACGAGCUUGAAUAUGUCCUGCCAUGUUGGAUGCAGCUCCAGCCUUUCUAGGACCCGGACUGCUUGUGGAGAAAGGUGGCUGCAACAGCAGGGAAAAGUCAUCCCUCAGCCUCUGCCGGAGACCCCUUCUGCCUUUGCUCCUUGUUUAGCCUCUGCACCUGCCCCAUCCCCUGUCCACCCACACUUUCACCCUGUGGUACGCAAUGCAGACAAGACACCGUCUGAUGCCUGAAAGCUUUUAUACACAACCAGGUAAAAGCCUUGUCCAGUGUCCAGAGACAACCUCACACAGCCACAGCUCCAGCCGUGUGGUGUCUGCCAGGAUAUCUCAGGACAGGUGCUGGAAUGGGGAGGGAAAAUGCUGGUGGAAGAUUCCUGCUUUUUAGUAAAUCUUUGUUAUCAUCA